CGUGAGGAUGCUGCGGCGGCAGAGACAGUCCUGGUCCAUGGGGAGGUCUGUGUCAGCAGAAGGACAGAUCCUGCUACAGUGGCCCUCUCUUCCCUCUUUAUUAGCACCACGCAAAAGGCUGAGCAGGUCAUAUCCUCUAUGACACCUUUGAGGAUUUCUGUUGCUGACGCAUCAGAACAGCUUUGCCAGGGUAGGAGCUGCCCACGGAGGUCACUGUUAACCAGAAAGCCUGAAACCCAAGAGUUCCUGAUACGUAAAACCACAAAGCCACCAUCAGUGGCCUCGUCACAUCUCCUCACCUAAAAGCUGGUUCAUCUGCAAAGUAAACACCGUGAUACACAGAUAAGGCACGAUAAGUAGAAUUAGCUCCAUUUGAACUGUAUUUCAGAUAUAAAGUGACACAAGGUGUUGGUGCUUCUAGUCAUGGGAAACUGUUCUGAAGACACGGUCAACAAACACAGUAUUGCUGUUCAGAGAUGGCAGUGGGACUUGGAUAUCCGUACCUGAGGGUAUCAUUAUGGAU